CACCUUUCCAUUAAGGACUAAAUUGCACGGAAAUGCUGAUUUGCCUAAACAAAAACAUCGACAGAGAAUAAAGAGGGAGGGAAAAACGAGUGGAUGAAAUAAGAGAGUCAGUUUAAGGAAUAACACUUGUUCGACAUGGAGCUUGUUCGGCAUAAAUAAUUUGACUCGGGCAUCUCAGUCUGCAACUAAAGACCGGGUUACGUUCAUUUUUAACACCAGACAACGGGAACAGUUGAAGAUACGGAAGAAAGGAUGCUAAAACCGAGAAGAAAGGGAUAGAAUGCUAAUAUAGUGAGUGCAUGAAGAUUAAAUAGAGAGAGAGAGAGAGAGAGAGAGAGAGAGAGAGAGAGAGAGAGAGAGAGAGAGAGAGAGAGAGAGAGAGAGGUGUUUCCCCGAUGCUCGUGUCGCUGUUGGUUGGAAAGACUGUUUUGUUUAGGAAAUAAAAAGUAACUGAUUAACACAAGCGUUAAGUCACAGACAUGCAGAUAUACAAGGAAAAUAUAGUUAUUUUAUUUUUUUAACAGAACAAAUAUGUCAGAUAAACCCAUGCAUAUUGCGGGAAUAAUUUAUUAGAGGUUUGGCAGAGAAGGAAAAUAGGUAAUAAAUCAUAUAAAUAUAUUUUUUCUGGCUAUUUUUUUAUAUCACUAUAGAAACGGACCUAUUUAGGCCUAUAUUGCACAGUGAAGUUGCGCUGUUUUGAGCCAGCAGGUGUUGUAGCAAGUACAUUUUAUAUUAUUCAUGAAGUGUAGCCAUUUUUACAGAAAUAUUUUAGGAUUAGGCAUUCAGUACAGUCGAUUGGACCACACGCCCCGAGGAUCUCUCCAAAACCUACUAAAUUCCACGUAACAUUUUUGUGCAGUUUGUGCGUUCAUGUGUGUGUGUUUAAGAACACUCACACUGCACGCACGUGAACCGAGCCAGAUCCAAAGCGAGCUUCUCCUAACCCCCUCCCCUCUCCGUUCUCUGUCCAGCUCUCCCUCCCCUGCUCCUCUAUGCUCAAUUCGGUGUGUGUCUCCUCUUUCAAAGGGCGCAAGGGUGGGAACAAGUCGUCCAACAAAGCAUGUUACAGCGCAGACAUGACUUGUCCGUCAGAAAGCGAGAAAAUAGUAAUAAACUGCGGAGGGAUUCGGCACGAGACCUACCGCAGCACGCUGAGGACGCUGCCCGGGACCCGCUUGUCUUGGCUUACCGAGCCUGAUGCGUUCAGUAACUUUGACUAUGACCCCAAAUCCGACGAGUUCUUCUUUGACCGCCACCCCAACACGUUUGCGUUCAUUCUAAAUUAUUACCGCACAGGGAAAUUGCAUUGUCCCAACGAUGUCUGCGGUCCUCUCUUUGAAGAGGAGCUCGCUUUUUGGGGGAUCGAUGAGACGGACGUGGAGGCUUGCUGCUGGAUGAACUACCGACAGCAUCGGGAUGCCGAGGAAGCGCUGGACAGCUUCGAGACGCCCGAGCCGGAACUGCCAGAGGACGACCCGGCACUUACUGGUGGUGCGGACGGGGACUUGAAGAGGUUGUGUCUACAGGAGGACGGGCGGCACUCCAGCUGGUGGAGUAUAUGGCGGCCCCGGAUCUGGGCGCUGUUUGAGGAUCCCUACUCCUCAAAAUACGCCAGGUAUGCAGCAUUCGGCUCGCUCCUGUUCAUCCUCAUCUCCAUCUCAACAUUUUGCUUGGAGACACACGAGGCCUUCAACACCAUCUACAAUAAGACAGAAAACGUGACUGUGGGGAAUGUCACGCGGGAGGAGGUUGUGUUUGAGGUAGUGACUGACAAAUGGCUUACCUAUGUAGAAGGAAUGUGCGUCAUCUGGUUCACCAUCGAGGUGUUCGCCCGAGUCAUCUUCUGCCCAGACAAAGCCGAGUUCUUCAAGAGCUUGUUAAACAUCAUUGACUUUGUAGCCAUUUUGCCCUUUUACCUGGAGGUGGCGCUGAGCGGCCUCUCCUCUAAAGCCGCCAAAGAUGUGCUGGGCUUUUUGCGCGUGGUGCGAUUCGUCCGAAUCCUGCGAAUCUUCAAGCUCACGCGCCAUUUUGUGGGGCUGAGAGUGCUGGGUCAUACGCUUCGUGCCAGUACCAAUGAAUUCUUGCUCCUCAUCAUCUUCCUUGCUCUCGGAGUGCUCAUCUUUGCCACCAUGAUCUACUAUGCCGAGCGCAUUGGUGCAGACCCAAAAGACCCCACGGCGAGCAAACACACCUCCUUCAAAAACAUCCCCAUUGGCUUCUGGUGGGCAGUGGUGACCAUGACGACGUUGGGCUAUGGUGACAUGUAUCCAGAAACGUGGUCUGGUAUGUUAGUGGGCGCCCUGUGCGCCCUGGCAGGUGUGCUGACCAUCGCCAUGCCUGUGCCUGUUAUUGUUAACAACUUCGGUAUGUACUACUCUCUGGCCAUGGCCAAGCAGAAGCUGCCCAAGAAAAAGAACAAGCACAUCCCGCGGGCUCCGCAGCCUGGAUCUCCCAACUACUGUAAACCAGAUGCCCUGGCCAUGGCUACUGCCUCGCCACACAGGAUCAUGGGUAAUGUGCUGGGCAGUUUGGUGGGCUCUGGAAGCAUGGCAGGAGACUGUCCUCUUGCACAGGAGGAAAUCAUAGAGAUUAACAGAGCAGACUCAAAGCAGAAUGGUGAUGCUGCAAAUGCAGCCCUGGCUAAUGAGGACUGUCCCAACAUAGACCAGGUGCUGGGGCCAGAUGACAGGAGUCCAGCCACUGGUGGGUUGGGAACAGGCAUGGGGCGGGAGCGUUACCCCCAUGAUCGCGCCUGCUUCCUCCUCAGUACUGGAGAGUUCCGCACCACAGACAGCAAUAUCAGGAAAGAGAACUAUUCUGAAAGCCCAGUGCUUAUCAGAUAUAUGCAAAAAGAAGCAGUAACUGUGAACUAAUUCUAGAACAGAAAAACCACUUCUUCCUUCACAAAUACAUUCCCAAAUGAACACCUGACCCCUGUCUCCCUGAACCAGUUUCAAGUCCUGUCCAUUCCUUUCGGUCCAUUUGAGUUCAGUACCCUCAUCACACAUUUCCAAUACAUUACAUUAUCCAUCUUUUUAAAUCAUUCUUAUAUAGUUUUGAAGACCAGAGAUGUUACCCCUCUGUUUUCUGUUAAUCUCCGCUCUUACCCCCUCUGCUGGUUUCACAGGGGAUGAAUUGCUGUAGCAUUCAGUAUUGUAGAUUACUAGCACUAUUUGGUCACUUUAGAGGCUAAGAAAAGAGACUUUAGCCCUUUACUUGUUAUACGUAGGAUUAAAAUGAUCAUUUUAGGCUUUCGUUUCAAUGGACUCUUGAAAGAUUUUCUGUUCUCUCAUGUGUAGUAAAAUCAGUCUAUUUAAUGCUGAACAGAGAGUGAAAGAUUAUGAAACAAUUCUUUUCACUACAGCAAUGCAUGUUUCAACACAAUCCUGAAGAUUGAUAAAUGCUGCAUUCUUGUACAUCUUGUGGGUUUCCAGUGUGUAUUCUGUAGAGGCACAGUCAGGGUUGACAGGGUUGUAGAGGAUAUGACACAUGAUAGAGGCCCCUUCCUAGUUGGCUAAGUGAAUGCCCUGGUAAACAGAAAUAAGGCUGCAUGCAAUCAGGGAGGACACUGUAAAUAAUUAUCUCGUUCUCAGAUUGCAUGUUAAGUUAACAGCACAGAACUAUUAUUUGAUUGAAAUUUUUUUUAAAAAAGGUGAGGCAUUUGAAAUAGUGAGAGCAGAUCAGUUAAAAUGAUUUGCCCAGACAUUAGCAUUACCCUGAUCCCUCUCUAUCUUGGUCAGACUUACAGUGCGCUCCCUGUCACUACUCAGGUAUAUCUCUUUUAGUUUGUCUAUACCAGUGCUUCCAAAAUGAUGUCAUUGCAAAACAAAGACAGAGACAGAAAGUGAUGAAUUAUAUAUGUCCUGUCUAGGCAUGCACAUUUGUAAAUAUAAAAUAGCCUAAUCUGUUUUUGACCCCAUUACUCAUUACAAGUCUUCCUUUUCCACAGUGUCCUUGUGCAAAUUGUUUCCUUGCCCAUCUGCAUUUGUCAUUUCACGUGCCACUCUCAUUUAUUUUCAUUUACAAACUCUACUGCUUCCAAAUAGCAACCAAAAAUGCUGGAUUACAUAAUGAGAAAUCAAGGAAAAAUACUAGGUCAUUUGUUAAAAUUAAAAUGGUCUGCUAUAAGUGGAUUACAAAAACUAUAAAUGGAAUCAGGACUCAACCAAAUCAGGAGCUAAAAGCAUUGAGGGUCAGAUGGACAGAUUGUGUGUUUGGGAAAAUGUGUGGGAGAGUAUUGUGAGGAUUUUCAACAAAUGAAGAAAGGCAUCAGAAAAUGGAGGACAGUUUGGGGAAGAAAGAAACAAAGACAGGAGGAAGGGAGCUGAACGCUUCGCAGUUGCUGAGCUUCUGAACUGGCCCUUUUUUCGCUAAAGAAGAGCUCCCCAACUGCAAAACAGAGUCAGAGUUGGCUCAGAGGAAGCGAAAGAGAGAAAUCUAGAGGUGAACGGAGCACUGCACAAAAACCCACUUGAAGAAAACCUGCUAUAAGUCAUCUCUAAUUCAACUAUUUCAACCGAAUGUUGGUGCAAUAAACUGAUUAAGAUUCCACAUCCUGGGAUGAUGUGGAACUCUUCCAAUUCUUCCAACAGGGGUGGGAUUCAGCAUACAAACUGUAGUAUGUCCUGGUGCGACCCUUCAAGAAAGUUUCUCAGACUACCUGAAGAGCUAGGUGGAAAAUGGAUGUAAUUUUUAAGGGGCAAGAACUAUUUUUGUGGAAUGUGAAUCCAUCCUUGUUUUGUCCACCAAUGCACCUGCAACCCUGCAAAACAAGUGGAAAAUCCCUCAGAACCUGAUCAACUUCAAUCCAGUCUUAGAUACAAGUAAUGUGUGGAAAAAUAUCCAUUAUGCCCUUCAACGCUAUGCAAUUCAACCACACAUUCAAGUUCAUCAAAAGCUUAAAUUGAUCAGAUUGUUCACAGCCAAACUUUUCCCCCUCCUUUACAUUUUUGGAGGUCUUGCACAUGCUUUAAAUUAAAAUAGACAACAGCGUCAUCACUCAUGCAGUGCACAAACUGUGGAAAUCUUGUUUUGAGUGUCCUUCUCAGGGCUCAUUGAAAGGUUAUUUUGUCCAUUAUAAAGAAAUGAAAGUCAGCCUCUCUCUUUUCUCUCUCUCUCUCUCUUAGUUUAGCUCUCUGAAUAUCAGCAUUUCUGUUCCACUGUAGAUAAACUGCAUGGCAUGAAUGAAAAAACAAACAAACAAAAAAGAAAAAAAGUGAGGACUAUGAUAUAAAGAGGAAGAGACUUAUGAGAAACUCAUAAACAGGACUUGUCUGUUUGCACAGGAAAAUGGCAAUAUGGGGCGAAUCAAACACAGUCACUCUGGAUCAGUUGAAUGAGAGAUAAAAAAAAAACGCAGGUUUUUACCUUCAUGCUGGGAACAGAAAAUACAGCAAAAGUGCAUGAAACUUGUUGAAGGACAGAGGGGCUUUUUCGUGGACUGGAUGAACUUGGAACAAAAGGGAAAAAGAAAGAAAGAAAGAAAGAGAAAAUUUUAAACACAUUUUUCUCACUUUGUUUACCAGCAUGACUAAAUUGCAUGACUUCUGCGAGCCCUGAACCCCAGAUUAGAGGGGUUGGAAUCACUUAACAACAAAAUCAAAUGGAAAUAAUAACAAUUUAUGCUAAAUGCUAUUAAGUUUAGAAAAAAAUAUUAUAUUUAAAAAAGAGAGGCUCUAUAUUUUGUUUUUGAAUAAUAAAAAAAUAAUAAUGUAAAAAUAUAUAGAA